CACGUAGGGUGCGAGCGUUGUCCGGAAUUAUUGGGCGUAAAGAGCUCGUAGGCGGUCUGUCGCGUCGGCUGUGAAAACCCGGGGCUCAACCCCGGGCCUGCAGUCGAUACGGGCAGACUAGAGUGCGGUAGGGGAGAUCGGAAUUCCUGGUGUAGCGGUGAAAUGCGCAGAUAUCAGGAGGAACACCGGUGGCGAAGGCGGAUCUCUGGGCCUUACCUGACGCUCAGGCACGAAAGCUAGGGGAGCGAACAGG
rnacentral:rRNA from 1 species